rnacentral:tmRNA from 1 species
GGUCGAGAGUGAGUCUCCUCUCGGAAAUACAAGGCUCAAAACAAAAGUAAAUGCGAAUAACAUCGUUAGCUUUGCUCGUAAGCCUGCUCUAGCAGUUGCCUAAUAACCUCUAACCGGUUCGAGCGUCUUUAGUCUGACUCCGUUAAGGGCUAGAGACCAACCCCAACGGAUGCUCUAGCAAGUAUUCUCUGGUUGACUUGCUAGCUAAGACUUAAUCAGAGCAUCCUACGUUCGGGAUAAUGAACGAUUCCCGCCUUGAGGGUCAGAAAGGCUAAACCUGUGAAUGAGCGGGGG